rnacentral:rRNA from 1 species
AUGAACGCUGGCGGCGUGCUUAACACAUGCAAGUCGAACGAUGACUUUUGUGCUUGCACAAAAUGAUUAGUGGCGAACGGGUGAGUAACACGUGAGUAACCUGCCCUUAACUUCGGGAUAAGCCUGGGAAACCGGGUCUAAUACCGGAUACGACGGACCGCCGCAUGGUGGUCCGUGGAAAGCUUUAUGCGGUUUUGGAUGGACUCGCGGCCUAUCAGCUUGUUGGUUGGGGUAACGGCCCACCAAGGCGACGACGGGUAGCCG